rnacentral:rRNA from 1 species
UGGUAAUGCCGGAUGCUCCGGUUGGAUGCAUGUCCUUCCGGGAAAGAUUCCAUCGGUAUGGGAUGGGGUCGCGUCCUAUCAGCUUGAUGGCGGGGUAACGGCCCACCAUGGCUUCGACGGGUAGCCGGCCUGAGAGGGCGACCGGCCACAUUGGGACUGAGAUACGGCCCAGACUCCUACGGGAGGCAGCAGUGGGGAAUAUUGCACAAUGGGCGCAAGCCUGAUGCAGCGACGCCGCGUGCGGGAUGGAGGCCUUCGGGUUGUAAACCGCUUUUGAUCGGGAGCAAGCCCUUCGGGGUGAGUGUACCCUUCGAAUAAGCACCGGCUAACUACGUGCCAGCAGCCGCGGUAAUACGUAGGGUGCAAGCGUUAUCCGGAAUUAUUGGGCGUAAAGGGCUCGUAGGCGGUUCGUCGCGUCCGGUGUGAAAGCCCAUCGCUUAACGGUGGGUCUGCGCCGGGUACGGGCGGGCUGGAGUGCGGUAGGGGAGACUGGAAUUCCCGGUGUAACGGUGGAAUGUGUAGAUAUCGGAA